GCACGCAAAUUACCCACUCCCGGCACGGGGAGGUAGUGACAAAAAAUAACGAUACGGGACUCUUAUGAGGCCCCGUAAUCGGAAUGAGUACACUUUAAAUCCUUUAACAAGGAUCCAUUGAAGGGCAAGUCUGGUGCCAGCAGCCGCGGUAAUUCCAGCUUCAAUAGCGUAUAUUAAAGUUGUUGCGGUUAAAAAGCUCGUAGUUGGUUCUGCGUGCCACGCUGUCGGUUCGCCGCCUGCCGGUGUAACUGGCAUGCCGUGGCAUGUCCUGUCGGUGGCGUUCGGGAGCCUCGUUUAGGUGCCGGCCCAAGCCUCAAAGCUUGGUGCUCGGAGGCCGGGGGUAUACCCGUUCGCCUACUCUAUCCUACCUAGGUGCUCUUCACCGAGUGUCGAGGUAGGCCGACACGUUUACUUUGAACAAAUUAGAGUGCUCAAAGCAGGCUGAAAUCUCUGCCUGAAACCUCACCAGGCCAGGACAUUGGAAGGAUUGACAGAUUGAUAGCUCUUUCUUGAUUCAGUGGGUAGUGGUGCAUGGCCGUUCUUAGUUGGUGGAUCGAUUUGUCUGGUUAAUUCCGAUAACGAACGAGACUCUAGCCUAUUAACUAGGCGUUUUCCGGUGUCCCCGCCACCGGCGACAUUCAUUCUUCUUAAGGGGACAGGCGGCUUUUAGCCGCACGAGAUUGAGCAAUAACAGGUCUGUGAUGCCCUUAGAUGUCCUGGGCCGCACGCGCGCUACACUGAAGGAAUCAGCGUGUGCCUCCCUGGCCGAAAGGCCCGGGUAAUCCGCUGAACCUCCUGCGUGCUAGGAAUUGGGGCUUGCAAUUGUUCCCCAUGAACGAGGAAUUCCCAGUAAGCGCGAGUCAUAAGCUCGCGUUGAUUACGUCCCUGCCCUUUGUACACACCGCCCGUCGCUACUACCGAUUGAAUGAUUUAGUGAGGUCUUCGGACUGGCGGUAAUCCCUA
rnacentral:rRNA from 1 species